rnacentral:rRNA from 1 species
UCAGUUCAGACUGCAGGCUGCAACUCGCCUGCACGAAGUCGGAAUUGCUAGUAAUCGUAGGUCAGCAUACUACGGUGAAUACGUUCCCGGGCCUUGUACACACCGCCCGUCAAACCAUGAGAGUUGAGAAUACCCGAAGCCCAUGUCAAAGUGGUCGAAGGUAGGCUUGAUGAUUGGGGUGAAGUCGUAACAAGGUAAC